AGUUGCGAUCAUACCAGCACUAAUGCACCGGAUCCCAUCAGAACUCCGCAGUUAAGCGUGUUUGGGCGAGAGUAGUACUAGGAUGGGUGACCUCCUGGGAAGUCCUUGUGUUGCACCUC
rnacentral:rRNA from 1 species